UUAGUUUGAUUCUGACUAAAAAAUUAGUAAUUAUUAACAUUUCUUAUGCUAAAAACAAAAUAAAGAAUUAUACACAUAAGGCAUUACAUAUAUUGAGUUACCCUUAAUAGCAGUGGUUGGAGUUGUAAAAUGUACUAAUGUAUGAAACAAUUUAAAAUCAAAAAUUAGCAUAAGUCGUGCCAGCAGCAGCGGUUAAACGACAGAUUUCUAACAAGUAAAAUCUUAUUAGGUGCCAUAAAAUAAAAUAAAGGUCAAAUUUCUAUUUUUUAUGCCUCAUAAGCAUCAUUAAUAAAUUUCUAAUUAAAACAAGGAUUAGAUACCCUUUUAUUUUUUACUUUUAUUUAAGAUUGGAGAAUACGAGUAAUAACUUAAAAACCCAAGAUUUUGGCGGUGUCUUAUUCAAUCAGGGGGACCUGUAUUAUAACUCGACAGUCCACGUAUAAGCCCUACCCUCUCUUGAUAUCAGCAUGUGUACUGCCGUCCAAUAGACCCUUAAAGUAUUCUAUAAUAAUUUAUUCAAAUAUACGUCAGGUCAAAGUGCAGCUUACUGAGAAGGAAAAUAUGGGUCACAGUCUAUAGUAUAGUAAAUAUAAUUUAAUUGUUAAAUUAAUACUUUAGGACUUGAUAGUAACAUUACUAAAGAAGUAAUUUGAAAUUGAACCUAAGACAAGCACACAUCGCCCGUCACUCCCUAAUACCGGAUAAGUCGUAACAUAGUAGGUGUAACGGAAGUUGUAUCUGU
rnacentral:rRNA from 1 species